UUAAUAGUAAAAUCUGCUCAAUGAUAAUAAAUAGCCGCAAUAGUGCUAAGGUAGCAUAAUCAUUUGUCUUUUAAAUAAAGACUAGAACAAAAGAUUUAACAUSUAAAUUUAUUUCUUUAAUAUAAAAAUUAAACUAAUUUCUAAUGUAAAAAAACAUUAAUAAAAUAGAAAGACGACAAGACCCUAUUAAACUUUACUUUAGUUUUACUGGGGUAGUAAAUUAAAUAUAAUUUUAUAUUAAAAUAAUAAAUUAUUAUCCAAUACAUUGAUAACUCAGUUACUAUAGGGAUAACAGCGCAAUUAAUUUUUAAAGCACUUAUUCAAAAAAUAGAUUACGACCUCGAUGUUGAAUUAAUUACCUAAAUAAGGUAAUCCUUAAAAAAGGAAGUCUGUUCGACUUUUAAAAAAUUACAUGAUUUGAGUUCAGACCGGUGUAAACCAGGUCGGUUUCUAUCUUCUAUAAUUAUUUUUACAGUACGAAAGGACCUAAUAAUAUAAUUUUAUUCAAUUAUUAGCAAAUAAAUGCAUUAGAAUUAGAAUCUAAAUAAACUAAA
rnacentral:rRNA from 1 species